UCUAUGGUAAUUGAGAGUUUGGCCCG
rnacentral:piRNA from 1 species